rnacentral:rRNA from 1 species
UACGUAGGGUGCGAGCGUUAAUCGGAAUUACUGGGCGUAAAGCGCACGUAGGCGGACUAUUAAGUCAGGGGUGAAAUCCCGGGGCUCAACCCCGGAACUGCCUUUGAUACUGGUAGUCUCGAGUCCGGAAGAGGUGAGUGGAAUUCCGAGUGUAGAGGUGAAAUUCGUAGAUAUUCGGAGGAACACCAGUAGCGAAGGCGGCUCACUGGUCCGGUACUGACGCUGAGGUGCGAAAGCGUGGGGAGCGAACAGG